CCUACGGGAGGCUGCAGUGGGGAAUAUUGGACAAUGGAGGGAACCCUGAUCCAGCCAUGCCGCGUGUGUGAAGAAGGCCCUCGGGUUGUAAAGCACUUUCAGUGAGGAAGAACGCCUGGUGGUUAAUACCCAUCAGGAAAGACAUCACUCACAGAAGAAGCACCGGCUAACUCCGUGCCAGCAGCCGCGGUAAUACGGAGGGUGCGAGCGUUAAUCGGAAUUACUGGGCGUAAAGCGCGCGUAGGUGGCUUGAUAAGCCGGUUGUGAAAGCCCCGGGCUCAACCUGGGAACGGCAUCCGGAACUGUCAAGCUAGAGUGCAGGAGAGGAACGUAGAAUUCCCGGUGUAGCGGUGAAAUGCGUAGAGAUCGGGAGGAAUACCAGUGGCGAAGGCGGCCUUCUGGACUGACACUGACACUGAGGUGCGAAAGCGUGGGUAGCAAACAGGAUUAGAUACCCCUGUAGUC
rnacentral:rRNA from 1 species